rnacentral:rRNA from 1 species
UACGGAGGGGGCUAGCGUUGUUCGGAAUUACUGGGCGUAAAGCGCACGUAGGCGGCUUCGCAAGUUAGAGGUGAAAGCCCGGGGCUCAACUCCGGAAUUGCCUUUAAAACUGCAUCGCUAGAAUUGUGGAGAGGUAAGUGGAAUUCCGAGUGUAGAGGUGAAAUUCGUAGAUAUUCGGAAGAACACCAGUGGCGAAGGCGACUUACUGGACACAUAUUGACGCUGAGGUGCGAAAGCGUGGGGAGCAAACAGG